rnacentral:lncRNA from 1 species
AAAGCUGUAUUUCUGCAUUGCACAGUGAAUGCUGUAAGUCAGUGUAAGAACCUUUAUUUCAGAUGGAGACUGGCACAUGGUGACAGCCCCUCGUACAGUGCUCCAGUGUAAGAGUGCGGGGAAAAGGGAGGGUCAGCAGGAUCAGGACGGGGAGUUCUACACCAGCCUGCCAAGAGUGAGUUUGCAUUUUUAGUUUACUGCAUCAUUCCUGAGACAUAUUCUCACGGGUGCCAUUCCAUUUUUUUAUAUAUUUAUAUAUAAAACUGCGUAAGAUAUUGUGAAUGAUCUCAGCACUGCCAGUCCCAGUGUUGCCUCUCCUAUUCAUCAUCUCUGUCUUUCAGGCACACUUUCUGCGUCCUGGCUAUUUCUGCACUGCAUCAGAGCCCAGUGCGUUCUCCCCCUACAGCCAUGACCUUCACUGCAAGGGUAAAGGGUUGCAGGACCGGAGCCCCAGAGACAGAGAGAGUUAUGGGUGUAUCCCUCCGUCCUCUAGACCACACCCCCUGGCACAGCCCGGCUUCUACAGUCCCAAAAUCCCCCGAUCUAAACACUGUGAACCUGCUUCAUCCCCAACAAACACAACCCCAAAUAAAAACACGAAGGAGUUCAAUUCCUACACUCUGCCUCUUCCGCACACCAGGACUGCUGUUCUCAGUAAGAGUGAUCUCAGCUGCAAACCACAAGGAUUCAAGACUUCACUGGUGGAAAAGCCUCGGUUGAUGCGAGCGACCGUUUCUCAAAUAUCACCAGAUUUAAACCACCUGCCUCAACAGCAGCAACAGCUUCAGCAUAACAGGGAACAGAACAUCCAGAACCAGUACCUCCCCAGUCAGCACCAGCCCCAGACUGCACUAAACAUUCCCAGUACUGAUGAUUCCAGGAAAGAGGAAUCUCCCUGGAAUUACUAUGUUCAACCCCAAUCCAAUUUCAACCAAUUUCACCCCACGCCAAUCAGAAGAUCCCUCAGGGUGCCAAAGCAUGCUCAGGAAUCCUACGAUGACAUCAACCACAGCUACAGGUUUCCACGAAGAGCCUCUUCAAUAAGCGAGUCUAACAUCCACCUGAGAUUACAGUCGUCGAGUUUCUGUCAGCUAAGUGUGUUCAAUGGCAAAAGCUCCCAUAAUACUGAGGAAAGCGAAGCCUAUCUCCAGUCCAGUCCACCACACGCCAACUUUAAAGGAAGAAAUGGUUCCAGUGAUGUUGGAAGCAACUUGUCCAGCAGUAUGAGGUAUGUGCUAGCAUCUUUUUUUAACUUGCAGAAAGAUAG